GCCAGUGUUUUCGAUUGAGUAUCCUGGCCGCAUUUCAGUCCAUAGAGCCGAGUCUUCUGUGAUCCCAAUAAGGAAGAAGAAUGGAGAAACUCCUGGAAGUGUCUUUGCUGAUACUAUGGCUUCAACUGCCCAUGGUGAACAGCCAGCAGGAACAGCAUCAUCAGGUCCUGAGCAUCCAGGAGAGUGAAAAUGCCACCAUGAACUGCAGUUAUAAAACUUCGAUAAGCAACUUACAGUGGUAUAGACAAGACUCGGGUCAAGGCUUUGUCCAGCUGAUUUUAAUACGUUCAAAUGAAAGAGAGAAACACAGCGGAAGGCUACGGGUCACCCUGGACAACUCUAUCAAAAGCAGUUCUUUGUCCAUCAUUGCUUCCCAGACUGCAGACUCUGCUACUUACAUCUGUGCCACAAGACACAAUGUUCACCAGGCACCUGCAGCCUCUGCACAAACUCUGCCCAAGCUGCCCCUUUGAAGCCCCACAGUGGGUAGCAUUCGUGGUUAAGUCUUCACAGGAAGGAGAGUCUAUAAAGAGCGGGCGAGAUGAAAGACGGACCCUCUCAAAUUCAUGGUUUCUUUGGA